UACGUAGGGGGCAAGCGUUGUCCGGAUUUAUUGGGCGUAAAGAGCGUGUAGGCGGCCAUUCAGGUCAGCUGUGAAAAACUCGAGGCUCAACCUCGAGACGUCGGUUGAAACCGUUUGGCUAGAGUCCGGAAGAGGAGAGUGGAAUUCCCGGUGUAGCGGUGGAAUGCGCAGAUAUCAGGAGGAACACCGGUGGCGAAGGCGGGUCUCUGGGCAGUAACUGACGC
rnacentral:rRNA from 1 species